rnacentral:lncRNA from 1 species
UUAAGAUAGUAAGACAGAGAAGAGGAGGAGUUGUGCUCAACUUCACUGACGCUGAGGUAUGUUUUUUGUUACAUGCAAUGUAGAAAAAAAUACAAUGUAAUGUGUAGUUAUUAAAUGUUCUUCCUUGUUCAUAUCCAGUUCAACUGUAGGACCAAAGCCCCUGGAGCACACCUAGUGUCGGUGCAUGAAGAAGAGCACUAAUGAUUACCUGCUCUGCAUUGUGUAAAAAAUUCAACCCAAAUAACCUGCGCAUCUGGCUCGGAGCUUUUGAACUUUUUAAGUCUGGUAAAUUUCUUUGGGUUGAUGGAUCCAACUGGGAUUUUCAAAAUGGAACAUGGCGAACCCAGCCAUAUGUACAACAGCAUAGAGGAAUGUGUGGAGAUGAACUGGCACGGUAAGAACAGAGAGACACUAAUGGGUUAUAGGAUAAUCACAUUGAAUUUUAAGUGAAUGUUUUGCUAAAUGAUUUAUUCCAGUGAUGCUGUGAGGAAUAUUUGGUAAGACACACUGCAGGAGGUAGAAUAAUCUCUUCAUUUCACCUGUCCCUCCAUUUUUCAGAGGAUGGGCAGAUGGGAAUGACCACGCUUGUCAUGUCAAGAAAAACUACAUAUGUGCCUUCAAACGAAAUGCCGUCUUGAAACCAGGCUCUGAGGAGAUGGAGUAAUUUUAUCUGGGUACUGUCCCAUAAAACUUUCUGAAUAAAAUGAUAUUCUCUGCAUCAACAAAAAACUUACAAUAAAAAUAAUUCUUCAAAUAGCUUUAAAAUACUAAUAAAGAAUUUUUGCAAUCAAAAUGAUCAGUUUAUUUUAUUUUUUUGAUUGUUUGUCUGAUUAUGACUGACUGUAAUGACUACACUUAUAAAAAUAAAGGUCCCAAAAGGGUGUUUUUGCAGUGAUGCCUAGAGAACCAUUUUUGGUUCCCAAAAGAACCUUUCAGUAAAAAGUUCCUAAAUUAAAAAUUUUGAAGAACAUAAAAAUAUAAAGAACCUUUUUCGAAUAUAAAGAAGCUUUUUUGCAUUUGAAAGGUUCCGUGGAUGUUCAAGGUUCUUCAUAGAACCACUGAUGCCAAAAAAGAACCUUUAUUUUUAAGAGUUUAUAGAUAUUUAGGAGACCAGAUCUCUGUGUAGAGCACUGGAUGUUGUCAGACAAAAAUCUCAUUAGAUCAUUACAAUAAUGGCAAAAUUAAUUUUUGGAAAUGUAAACUGAUAUUUCAUACUGACACACUACAGCAAAAGAUAGAAA